ensembl:lncRNA
GUAAGUGCUUAUUAUUGUUUGCCUUGACACUCAGGGAAGCGUUGCAGAGUUGGCCUACCUUGCUAUUUCGCAUUGUCCCAUCAUUACCCACUGUCAAACUUUGCUUUGCAAUUACUCAUCUCCCGGGGGAGCAGCAAGUAGCAAUUUCCCCCCAAGAAAUAAUAGCAACCGACCAAAAUGAGCUGAUUGCAUGGAUACGCCAACGCAAAUGAGACAAGAACGGUUCCUGGUUGCAUUAUCCCUAAAUCACUGCCUGUCGGUGGCUGUGCCCACAAUUACCCAUCAGCUGCAGGGAGCGAUGAGCACCCAGCCCUCCUCCUGCUCAUCCAUUUCAACACCAGUUCCCCAUGGGUGCAAUGGGAGCAGGUUGUGCAGUGAUGUACAACCCCUCAGUCAGAGCACCACACCAGCACCAUGAGCUUCCACUGUUGGCAGGGAGGUGACACAGUGACUGCAUCCCGCCCAAUAACAUUGUGUUUGAGGAUCCCAGAGAGUCGUUGGAAAGGUCCAGAAAGUUCGUGAAAUUCCCAAGCUCCUCAGGAGCUCUAUGCACAUUGUGCUUUUGCCCCUGUUCUGGCUGCAGAGUCAGAAACUUCUGCACUACACCACCUCUCCUCCACUUUGGGGAGACCAAACGUAAGAAGGCAGCACACCAACUCAUAACGAGGGCCGGGCGAUGGGGAUAGGAAACCACAAUCCCAAGUAGCACAACCUGCAGCACAACCCAAGUGGCCAUGACUGACUGUCACGUAAUUCCAAACCAGAAAGCUUUGGCACCAGCAGAAGUUCUGAAGGGCCUUGGGCAAAGGAGAAGUGCUGAAGAAAUCUUGCUUUCUAAAAAACUAAAAAUUCAGGGAUUUCCAUGAAAAUGAGGCCUCUUGUGCUGUUAACUGCAUAUAACCGUGUAAUACCCUGAAAUAAGAAAUGCAAUUUUCUGCCUUUUUGAUCAGUUCCCAAGGUUAACAGCUGCACAAGCACUGAAUCCUUUCAGAAGCCCUGCACAGAUAUUCCCCUCAUGCAUCUUACUGUAGAAAACUACUCAGACAAAGCAGCUGCACAAAACAUUAGCAGCUGAUCUGAGCUAAUUCAAUCGUUCUGAUGAGGCUGCAAAGGAAGAAUCAGAGACAGAAGAACUACAAGGGAGCUCUCAUAUACCAAACCUCCUCCAGCACUGAGACACAUCACAAAGCAGGACCUGCCCCAACUACAGCUGCUGCUACCCUCCGUGAGGUCACACCAUAAGUUAUAACGGGGACUUUCUGAUGAGCUCCUGCUGGUGUUUAUAACCCAAGCCCACGUACAGUACUCUCCAAGAAUACCUUCAGCAAAACAGUCAGCAUCUGUUACAGCUCCUUCACUUUUCCAGGAUGCUGUCCUGAUCACCUGGGGACAGCAGAGCCAGAUCCAGUGUUCUUGAAACCAAUGCUGACCUCCGUGCUGUUGGAGCUGAGCCUGCCCCCCCAAAUCCCACUGCUACAUCAACACGAGGCUGACUUAAAAGAGAGCAGAAACACAAUUCAUCACUUUUAGGAGACACUUUGCCAUGUUUUUCAAGAAUUGUGACACACACAGCUGAAUUUUACCAAGAAAUCAAUUACCUACCAGCUAUUCUAUGUAUCAAAAUAGGUUUCCAGGGAAGUAAAUCAUCCUCACUGUGUUAAUGCUGGUAGCACCAAGCCCAUCUGCAGGACCGUGUUCCCCAUUAAGAUGGAUGGCAACAUAUGAACCCGUACAGCUGACAGACAUUUACAGAGGAUAAUUACAGAGAUUGUUGGAAUAUCAGUUACUUUGACAUGUUAAUGGUAUCUUUUUAAUUAGAUACAAAGGCAGAGAGGUGAUAGCAAACUGUGCAGUGGCUGCUGAGCUGAUGUGCCAUCACCAGGACAGGGCCCCAGGGUGCCUUGUUCUGCCAAAGAGCAGCCCACCCUUUGAGCAGGACCAAGGCUGGUGCACAACUAUGAUGCUUUAAGGCCCCUCACUACAAGACACUGAGGCCCUGGACGUGUCUGAAGGAGGGCAAUGAAGCGAUGAAGGGGCUGUAACUUAUGACUCCAGCCAUAUGCAUUUCAAUGCCCACCCAGCAUUAGCAGCAGGGCUCUGCCAGGCUUUCAGGUUGGCUGAGGAGAUGGUUUAUGAGGUUCCAAAUGAAGCUGCAGGUGUCAACACACACGAAAGGAGGAUAUUUGUACAUGGU